GGCUACAAUGGUUGAUAGGAUUAAUUUAAAAUUAUGAUUUAAAAUAAAUGUUAUGUAAUUUGAGCCAAAAUGUUCUAAAUGUGCCCCAGCUUGGACAGUUGCUUGGGGUCUCGGGAAUCGUAAACCUGCCACUGUUGCCUCCCUAGCCGUCUGUCUAGAUCACUUAUGCCAGGAUUCACCACUGCAUCUGGGAUGGCAUGAGGAGAUCUGGAUGAAUCAAGUCUUUGUUCUAAUUCUAAGACACUGAAGAGGAUUAUCUAUAUGAAGGUGAUCAGAGGCACAUUCGGCGCACAAGAGAGACCCCUAGUGUCGCUUCUUCGACACAACAUCGAAGUGAGCGACAGACGGGGAACCCUGUAUCCAAGUCCUCUCAUGCUUGAUCAGUUAGGUUUAUACAACUGCAAACUUUUUCAUCUAGCUCAAUAAGAUAUUAAAAUAUCCAAUAGCAGUGACAAAAAUGAACUCAUUCCUUUUUGUAUAAAACAAAAAUGAGCUCAUUCCUUUUUGUAUAGGGUUGCCACCCAUCC